UACAGAGGUGGCAAGCGUUGUUCGGAAUUACUGGGCGUAAAGGGCGCGUAGGCGGCCAUCUAAGUCAGACGUGAAAUCCCCCGGCUUAACCUGGGAACUGCGUCUGAUACUGGGCGGCUUGAGUAUGGGAGAGGGAUGUAGAAUUCCAGGUGUAGCGGUGAAAUGCGUAGAUAUCUGGAGGAAUACCGGUGGCGAAGGCGGCAUCCUGGACCAUUACUGACGCUGAGGCGCGAAAGCUAGGGGAGCAAACGGG
rnacentral:rRNA from 1 species